AGGGCGGGACUUCUGGCGUCUUCGCAGCGGUCAUUUUGGCUGCCCUGCGGUCUGUUCUAUCCGUCAGCCGCUUUGGUGUGCUGCAUCCGGAUCGAAGUGACGGACCGUGAAGCCGCGAGAAUCAGGUCUGAGGGUCGGGGGCAGAGCCGCCCGCGAGGCCGGCCUGGGGAUAGCGGUGCUCGGGUUCUCCCCGGGUCUCCCGCAGCUCCCGGUCCAGCUCCGCCCACAGACUCGGAUGGCGACCGUACUGAGGGACCCGGCUUCGGUUCCCAUAGCUACAGAGGUGCUUUUCAGACUUACACAGGUAAGUGGAGGUAUCUCAGCCCCUCACUGGUCUGGAAUGUCCCUCCUCCCUCCCCAGACAGAUAUUUUGUUUAGAUUUGUGGUGUCAUGGGACUCACCUACCAUUCUCUCAGCCUUUGGUUUGGGAACCCGGGAGAAUCCCUGAGCUCAGGAUCCUGAGUCCAGGCCAACGUUUCCAUUUGGAGCAGCCAAUGGAAAGAGGGGUGAAAAUUUGAUAGGAA
rnacentral:sRNA from 1 species